UGCAACGUUCCGUAAUCGAAUCACGGACCUUUAUUAGAGUUUAAAGCGCCCGACUCACCGCUUUCAGAUGCCUUUUCUACAGCAUUUAACGGAAAACAAGUAGGACUGACUUAUCUCCAUUUUCUUGGCUCCGUCAACACCCGCAUUCGACGAGAGUAUCCGCUCCGCUUAGUUUCGUAUUCGACGAAGCAAUCGCCAUUAAAAUUCGCCGUGUCGCUUUCGGUAAACAUGGUCAACGUGACUUUUCUGGAGGUAACGUUGAGAUCGCUACGUUGGCAUUCUCCUCUUCGAUUCUGUAGGAGGAUGAAGUCGGCGUUAGUUUAUAGAGAAUACGGCGAGCCUUUGAAGGUUGUCAAGAAGGAAGAGCAGAGCCUUAAGAAGCUCGAAGGUAACGAGGUUCUGAUCAAGAUGCUGGCUGCGCCUAUAAAUCCGGCCGAUAUUAAUAUGAUUCAGGGAACUUACGCGCUGAAACCCACGUUUCCGGCAAUCGGAGGUAACGAAGGAGUCGGGGAAGUAGUGGAGGUACAAAUAUCCUAUUUGUGACGCUUGCAUAGAAACGGAUGUAAUGCUUCUGAUGGGAGCGUCUGCGUGAUGCGGUCUGCGGAAACAAGACGGGUCGACUUUGCAUAGUAUCGGGAGAAACACAAAUGUUGAGAAAUGUACGGGUUUAUUCGGUUGAAAUGAUGCAAGGUGGUCGAUUUGCCUGGGAGGAAGGCUUUUUGAGGGAAACUACUGCAUAGUUCGAUGUUACCAACGUGAGGAAAACCCAGAAAACUCCACGUGGCUGGGCAUAAACUACUGACUACUGGCAUUUGGUGGUUUUAUCCAUUCUGCGCCAGUGGACAAAUAUAGUCGAAGCUUGUUAUACUAGACAAAAAGUUUGAUAAUCUUAGCACUUGUGUUUCUUCUAUGAAAAUCGUAUAUGUGUGUGCGUGUCUUAAAAAUACUAGGGAUUUGACUUAUAUUUGGAUCUUUUGCUUGUACCAAAAGUAUUCUCCAAAUCCAAAAAUUAAAUUCGUGCAUGUAUUCUAGGCACACAGUCCAUGAAUAUUGUGCCUUUGCUUUCACAUAAAUUUUGUCUGUGUUCAGGUUGUUGAUGUUCACAAAAAUGUUUGAAUGCAAGUGCAAGUAGAGAAUGAUGGGCACCUAACUAUCACAAAAAAUUCUCAAUAAUCUGACUGGACCCAAAUCAGGAUCUUUUGCAGAAACAGGCACGCCCUUUCUUGGCCAUCUAGCCACUAUAAUUAGCAUUUGUUUACUCUUAUUAUAUUCAAUUAGUUAAAGUGGUAGAGCACUCUAGAAAGCAAAGAAUGCCAGGUUGUAUGAUCAUCAGCAUAACUAGAAAAAGAAGUGUAGAAGAAUGUACUGUCUAUUAUAUUGUUAAAAUCUGCCUCUUAAUUUGAUAUUGACUUAUUCUUUGUCAAUAACUGCUUUUUCAUGUUACAGGAAGGAAACCUGCUACGAGCUAAACACAGUUUCGUGUUACUGAGUUAAUUUUAAUAACUCGGUAUGUUACUAAUUAAAUCGUUAAUCUCGUAUAUAUUUAUAUUAAUUUUAAGUUUACAAAGGUGGUAACAGGAAAAAAGCAAAGAACAGCUCCAUUCUAAACUUAUACAACUAUAAAUACUACUAAAUAGAUCGAAAAUUGAGAGGAAAGAUUGACUCUGAACUGGACGGACAUGUUAUCGGUCGAAUUAUCAGGGUCCCGAUCUGAUCUUUGUCUUUAAACAUGCUUAAUUUAGAAUCAGAUUGUACUGUACAAGGUCACCUUAUCAGAAUAUCCUAAGAAUAAUUCAGCAGUUGACUUAGUUUAUUUAUAUUUGUUAAAAUUAAUUGAAUUGAUUGACCUUAUUUAUAUAUGGUUAAAAUUUUAAAUAUAUGAUUUUUCUAAUUUAAUGUCAUAUUAUAUUUUAGAAUUAGAUAAUGAUGGUGUUAUGUCAAAAUGGAAGUAUACAUUAUAUGUGAUGUAAUGAAACUCCAUGCUGAUAUUUAAAAGAUAUACUCUAGGGUGAAAAAUAGUCUUGAAAUCUUCUAUACACGUUUAUUAAAUUCCAUUUUGUUUUUGAGAUUUCGUCUUCCGAAAAAUCAUCUCUGAAACCAAUUUUAUUUCUUCCGCAAAAGACAUGCUGCCAUUUGUUUUUUACUUCUGUGCUACCAAUAUGUAUAAAUCGAAGCUUUAUUUUAAAUAAACACACAAACCUUAAAUUGGCCUUGCCAAUAAGUGAACUUUCUGUUAUCAACAUUUUUGAUCCAUUUUUAAGAUCUUCCUCGGUCAGACUACCAUCCUAGCUAUAUAUAUCAACGACAAUGAGAUUAAACCGGAACUCCAGCAAGCCAUUCCAGUAUGAAAAACACCUUAUGCUGAAUGAGUCAAAAAUUUGGAAGUGCUGGAAAUAUUUAAAAUGGUGCUCCGACCUUUAAAGAAGAAAAAUGGAUCUCCCUCAUGUUGUGGGCAAUAUUUGAUUCAUCAUUAUAGGAGGCAACACACAGUCUAUAGAUAAACACGCACCACUGAAUGUUUAAAAAUUUUUAAUCUGAACUUAUUGGAUUAUCUUCUAUGCAUUCUAUUCUAGAAUGUUACUACCAGAUUUCUAAAGAGAGCUACCCGAGGAUUGUCUUAGAAGCGGACUGAAAACAAUUAUAAUGGAAAGCUCACUUAUCUGCAAUGUCAGUUUAAGGUUUGUGCAUUUAUUUUAACUUUUUGCCUUGUUACUAGAAGAUUGAUUUAGCCAUAUGUUAAAUGUUAA